CUUAAAAAUAACCCAUAAUUUAAUAUUUAUAGUUUUUUUUUUUUAUUUUUUUUUUUUUAACAAAUUUGCUAGCAAUUGCAAAUGUUUGACGUUUUAAUGUGUCUGCACAUGCAGCAUAGUUAUAAAAGUUUUUAAAAUUAUAGAUAUUCAAGUACUAAUAGUCAAGUUUUCCUACAGUAAAUGUUUAAUUUAAAAAAAACGAAAAGUACUUUUUUUUAUUAGAAAAAAACUAAACCACGUAGUGCCAGCGUAUAUUUUUCUGCUUUACUGUUUUUUUAUGGAAAUAUUAUAAUUCCCCUCUUCAAACAAGGGAAGGAGCACCAUCAUUGAUUAAUUUAAAAUACGCUAACUUUGCCGUCGACUCAGCGCGCUACUGCGGCCGAAGUGACUUUGUUUUGCGCGCAUUUCUCUUAACAGCGUCGUGUACGAAUACAUUCUCAAAUUCACAUGCACACAAACCCGCAAUCGCUCUCAUCAAGAGCACGGAGCAUUCGUCUACAAAACGCGCGCGCAUUUAUUUGCCCAUUGGUUGGGUUCGGUUUUCCGUUUCAUGUCCGCAUUUCGUCGUUUCAAACGUCAUUUGCAGCUGCACAGUGGAGUCGUUUGGUUUGGGGCGCUCAUACACUAAUUUAGCUCCCCGGUAGUUGUACGUGAUGAUUUCUAAUAAUGAAAUGGCGCUACAUUUUCAAAUACGACGACGUGGCUACAAAGGCGAUGCAAUACUAGCACACUGUAAAUCUUUUUACGGAGCUCAACGGAUUUAAUCAGCAACAAAUAAUUUAUUGUAGUGAAAUGUGUAGUGAUGAAUUAAUGUCACUGCGUGAUAAAUUAAAAUUAAAUGUAUGUUUUCGGAGUAAACGUUCUGCAACCUAUGUGGGAGCGAGAUAGGGACUUGCUGUCAUUUGAAAAACUUUUACAACCAGUCAGUCUUUUUCUCUCUCCUAUAGAAAUUGCGGGCGUAUCAACAUGUCCGAAACAUAUUAUUUCAAAAAUUAAAAACAUCUAAAAAAAAGAAAAGGUAAAACGAAACAGUACGGGAAUUUUCUCACACAAGAGUGUAUCUCAAAUAUGCGCCUACCAAUUUUAUGCCUACAGGAUGUCUAAUCGAGUUGGCAUUAGCAAACGACCAGUUCUCCAACAGCGCGUUUUUAUACUGUUUUGGGGUGGAUUUCUUGCUGCUACCGUUGUGUAUUUGUUGCAGCUGCUGUUUUGAACAUUUGUCAUUUCCUCAUGGGAAGGUCACACGUGAACACUUGUAUGGUGUAUACAAGAUAAAUAGAAUACAAAUGAGGCCAUUGACAAGGGAUUAUCCAAUUAGAAUUGUGCUAUAAUUGCAAAAUGCAACAAUGUUGAAUCUUAUUAGAUCAAGCUAAUUGGAAAUUCUAAUUAGUAAAUCAAUUGGAGUGAAUAGUAUUUGAUGAAAAUAGUAUAUAUCCUUUAAAAAAAUACUUUGGUAUUGCUUAUAAUAAAAAUGAUCCAGUCCAGAGAUAUCGUGCUCACCGCAAGAGGCUUUUUUUUGCAGACCUCUGCAAAAUUGGCAAUAUCAACGUUCCCGAUAAUUAUUUUUGGCAAUAAAAAAUAUGUGAAUAUAGUUUAAGGUUGUCAUAAUAUACCUGCCAAGUUUCAAAUCAAUACACUAAA